rnacentral:rRNA from 1 species
AAGUCGUAACAAGGUUUCCGUAGGUGAACCUGCGGAAGGAUCAUUACCGAGUGCGGGCCCUCUGGGUCCAACCUCCCAUCCGUGUCUAUCUGUACCCUGUUGCUUCGGCGUGGCCACGGCCCGCCGGAGACUAACAUUUGAACGCUGUCUGAAGUUUGCAGUCUGAGUUUUUAGUUAAACAAUCGUUAAAACUUUCAACAACGGAUCUCUUGGUUCCGGCAUCGAUGAAGAACGCAGCGAAAUGCGAUAAUUAACGUGAAUUGCAGAAUUCAGUGAAUCAUCGAGUCUUUGAACGCACAUUGCGCCCCCUGGUAUUCCGGGGGGCAUGCCUGUCCGAGCGUCAUUGCUGCCCUCAAGCACGGCUUGUGUGUUGGGCUUCCGUCCCUGGCAACGGGGACGGGCCCAAAAGGCAGUGGCGGCACCAUGUCUGGUCCUCGAGCGUAUGGGGCUUUGUCACCCGCUCCCGUAGGUCCAGCUGGCAGCUAGCCUCGCAACCAAUCUUUUUAACCAGGUUGACCUCGGAUCAGGUAGGGAUACCCGCUGAACUUAA